rnacentral:rRNA from 1 species
GUGAGGAAUAUUGGUCAAUGGGCGGGAGCCUGAACCAGCCAAGUCGCGUGAAGGAAGAAGGAUCUAUGGUUCGUAAACUUCUUUUGCAGGGGAAUAAAGUGCGGGACGUGUCCUGUUUUGUAUGUACCCUGAGAAUAAGGAUCGGCUAACUCCGUGCCAGCAGCCGCGGUAAUACGGAGGAUCCGAGCGUUAUCCGGAUUUAUUGGGUUUAAAGGGUGCGUAGGUGGUUUGAUAAGUCAGCGGUGAAAGUGUGCAGCUUAACUGUAAAAAUGCCGUUGAAACUGUCGGACUUGAGUGUAAAUGAGGUAGGCGGAAUGCGUGGUGUAGCGGUGAAAUGCAUAGAUAUCACGCAGAACUCCGAUUGCGAAGGCAGCUUACUAAGCUACAACUGACACUGAAGCACGAAAGCGUGGGGAUCAAACAGGAUUAGAAACCCUGGUAGUCC